CCUUGAUUAAGCCUAGCAGUUGUAACUACGGUUCAACACUGAAUCCCGAAUAGAUUUAGUAUAAACUUCUCCGUUCCUGUGACGCCAGCACCGACCCCGCCUUUACCUGGUUCUAUUCAUUCUGAAGACUCUAAAUUCUGAUGUCCAGUUGAACUAAAUUGUGGAGCCUGGUCUUCCUACUUAACUUCUUCUCUGGAUGAAUACUUAAUUACCAUCAAAACUUCCGGCGCUUCCCGUGGAUGAAGACCCAAUUAAGAAGAUCCAACCUUGAACCUCUCCUAAUAAAAUUUGAUGGUUCUCUUAU